rnacentral:rRNA from 1 species
AACGAACGCUGGCGGCAUGCCUAACACAUGCAAGUCGAACGAUCCCUUCGGGGAUAGUGGCGCACGGGUGCGUAACGCGUGGGAAUCUGCCCUCAGGUACGGAAUAACUCAGGGAAACUUGAGCUAAUACCGUAUAAUGACUUCGGUCCAAAGAUUUAUCGCCUGGGGAUGAGCCCGCGUCGGAUUAGCUAGUUGGUGAGGUAAAAGCUCACCAAGGCGACGAUCCGUAGCUGGUCUGAGAGGAUGAUCAGCCACACUGGGACUGAGACACGGCCCAGACUCCCACGGGAGGCAGCAGUGGGGAAUAUUGGACAAUAGGCGCAAGCCUGAUCCAGCAAUGCCGCGUGAGUGAUGAAGGCCUUAGGGUUGUAAAGCUCUUUUACCCGGGAAGAUAAUGACUGUACCGGGAGAAUAAGCCCCGGCUAACUCCGUGCCAGCAGCCGCGGUAAUACGGAGGGGGCUAGCGUUGUUCGGAAUUACUGGGCGUAAAGCGCACGUA